UAAAGUAAAAUUCAAUAAGCGAAACUACAUUUUAAGAAAUAAAUUAGGGUGACUAGACUAUAAGACAAUAAGGAAUGUCACCAAGUUGGGAAGAAAUAUAAUAACUGAAAAUUAAUGUAGUCAAGGAUACUUUAAGGAAAAUAUUCUCACAUCUUGUAUUUAAGGUAACAGAACACUGGAAGAUUCUAGGGAGUCACUGUUGAUGUUUCCCCAAAGAUGUCUCCACUGUUCCAUUCUAAGAACAUGCCUCAUCAUUAUGAGCAUCAUCAACAGUGACAGGAAUUCCAUAGAAGUUGUCUACUCACAAAAAUGGCUGGGAAGACAUGGCCCCUAAUAUUCAGGGGGUAGAAGCACUUGAUGUCCUCGAAGAUGAGUCAUUUGGUUCCCAGUACCCAUGUUAGGUAGCUCAUAACCUGUAACUCCAGCUCCAGGGGAUCUGUCUCCCUCUUCUGGUGGAAGAAAUAGUAGUUGGCCUGUAUGCUGGUAAGAAUGGUUCCCUGAAUGGAAAAUGAUCACCAUGGCAGGAGGCAGGAGUUAUCGGAUGAGUUCUCUGCGUCGCCAAAGGAUGUGGUAAAAUAAAGAGUGAAAUGGAAAUUCUGACUUCAGGAAGAUCAACCAUCUGACUAUUCACCAAACAAGACGAAAGGCUGAAGAAAAAGGGAAGGACAGACUGAGCUGUGCGGUGAAAACCGUGAACACUGGUGAGACAGACUGAGCUGUGCAGUGAAGAUGGUGAACAAUGGUGAGACAGACUGAGCUGGUGCCAUGAAAAUGGUGAACAAUGGUGAGACAGACUGAGCUGGUGCUGUGAAAACAGUGAGCAAUGGUGAGACAGACUGAGCUGGUGCCAUGAAAAUGGUGAACAAUGGUGAGACAGACUGAGCUGGUGCUGUGAAAACGGUGAGCAAUGGUGAGACAGACUGAGCUGUGCAGUGAAAAUGGUGAACACUGGUGAGACAGACUGAGCUGGUGCUGUGAAAACGGUGAACAAUGGUGAGACAGACUGAGCUGUGCAGUGAAAAUGGUGAACAAUGGUGAGGCAGACUGAGCUGUGCAGUGAAGAUGGUGAGCAAUGGUGAGACAGACUGAGCUGUGCGGUGAAAACUGUGAGCAAUGGUGAGACUUUCUCUGCUUUAAGCGACAGAGAUGGGAAAGCAGAAGAAUGAAGAUGAUAUGGAAGUAAACAGUUUCAGAGAGGAAGUUAUGAAAUAGUAAUUCAGAAACAAAAGAAUAAAAUGGGCAAGAAAAUAGAACUCAGAAUGUAACCAAACAGAUAACGUUGGAAGCCUGUUAGGUGUUUGGAGUCAUGAAGAAGAUAAAGAACCAUGAAAAGCACUGCGCAGGUGUGGGCAUGCUCAGAUUGGGAGACUACGCAUCAGGAAGAAAAAGCAAGAGAAAUAAGAUGCCAGUGAGAGCUUGUAAGUGGAAAUAAGGACACGCUGGAGAAAGGAAAGUGUGGGACUCCCUUAGCUGGACCCCAUAAAACAAUUCAUAGCACACUGAGAAGAACCAGCCCCACUCCAGCCUACACCCAGCCCGGGGGUGUGUCAAGGACUGACCAGCAGAGGACAAGCAUUAGCUCUGUCCUAGGAUGCUAACGCAGUGGACCAACCUGGAGCCUGUCCGUCUAUCUUUCCAGCCUUUGAGGUCUGUCUGGAUUUGGACUUGACCCUACUCCUGCACUUGAACCUGAUUCAGCCUCUCACCUGAAUACAGGAUCAGAAAUGUAGUGAAGCGUGAAAUAAUUUCAUUUUUUUCUGAUACUGACUAUUUUUCUUAACAAUCCACUUUUAUUAAAACUGGAACGUGCCAUAGUGAAAAUAUUGCUUUUAAUUCUUAACAAACAACUCACUUAAGCACCACAGGACACUAUGGAACACUACUGUACUAAAUCUACGCUGUAAGCAGGCAUCGCUGCGUCACGGCACUUACAAUCUUUGAAACCAAGUCAUUCUGAACAGCCAUGAUGGGUUAUGACUUGUGGCCCCGCUUAACCACCACUACAAGGGUUUGUUUGCUUGGGGAGGGAGUUAGCCUUGAAAAUGUAAUAUUGAAAACUUAUUUCCAUAUAAUAUCUUGCAUAGUUUUCAGUAUUAGGGCUAAUUCACAAGCUUGAAGCAACCCUAGUUCCUCCAGAUGGUCCUCCGCAAAUGGAAGUUAAAUAAUACAGACUACUAAAGUGUA